CAGCGCCACGAGUGGCAAUCACAUUUAUUGGGCCUAAAGCGUCCGUAGCCGGUUUGAUAAAUCUUUUGUGAAAUCGUACAGCUUAACUGAACGGCGUGCAGAAGACACUAUCAAACUAGGGACCGGGAGGAGUCAGAGGUAUGCCGGGGGGAGCGGUAAAAUGCUAUAAUCCCUGGUAGACCACCUGUGGCGAAGGCGUCUGACUAGAACGGAUCUGACGGUGAGGGACGAAAGCUAGGGGAGCGAACCGGAUUAGAGACCCGUGUAGUCC
rnacentral:rRNA from 1 species